UUUUGUACCGGGUCAUCUGCUAGGGAUCAACUAAAAUAUAUGAGGGGAAUAUUGGUUGGUUGUGAAAGAAAUGUUAUGAUAUGCUGUGAUGUAUGCGAUAUUUUAUGCAUGUAGUAUAUGAUUUUCUUUUCUUUCUUUUCCCUUCUUUUUUCUUUUUUUCUUUUUUUCUUUCUUUUCUACCUCUACCAGCAUGUUUUGGCACGUAC
rnacentral:lncRNA from 1 species